CAGGAGCCUUUUCUCCAGCAUGUCUUUUUGGGGCUGCCCCUUUAAAAUGGGCAGAACCAAGAAGCUGCAGCCAUUUUGUGACUGACUGCUGCUUGCUGUAUCUCCCUGCCUUCCAUCUGGUUUCAUUGGAUGUACAUCUUUGUCUCAGAGCAUCCUGGCGGGAUCCUGGAAGCAAAGCUUAGCUAGUUCUACAACACGUGGAGGAUUAAAAGAUAUCAGAGGCAUUAAAAACUGACAACUGCAAUUUUAAUAUGCCAGGUCAACAGACAGAAUGUCCCAUUCUCUGAAGAUGGGCCUCAGAACGUUGCAUUUCAGGGGCUACUCAUGAUUCUGGGAGAAAUUCCUGCUGAGGUGAUCAGCCAACUGUAUCCGGCUCCUGGGGCUCCAGGAUCGCCAGUGGCACCCUGACAAAGCUGAACUCAGGAGAUAGAUAGACAAAUUUUAACCAGCUUUGAAGUGGAUGAAGGCGCAAUCUGUCAGGAUGGACUAAAUAACUGCAUGUGCCCAGGCACACAGACUGAAGUUGAAUGACGAGAUUGGAAGGACAGACACAGGAGAAGUCCUGCUGCCUAGCAGGAUAAGCCAUCUGCCUGAAGUACUUCUGGGAAUAUUGACAAUAUUGCUGCUGUGGUUGCUGAGCUCCAUAAUGAUGACUUUUAACUUCUGGUAUAGCCCCCAAUGAACAUACAGUGGUCGGAGAGUCCUUAAAGGAAUACAGCAUCUCAUUAGUCUUUUUGGAAAACAAGAACUGACCAUUAAAGGAACAGCUCAGCUGCCAGCAAAAGCAGGUGCUCUCACCAUAUCUGAGCUCCAGAGGAAAUAUUUAGGAAAUGGAAAACCUGAUGCUUGGCUACAGAUCCUGUAAAGUUAUCUGGACGCUGCUUAUAACAAUUUUAGGCUAUACUAGCUGUCUGCCUGUGAGUGAUGAUUCUGUUUGCACAGCAGAGGAAGUUGCUAAGUACAGCAUACUCUUUGUAGGGAAAUGGAGUCAGGCUGCUUUCCCUAAGCAGUAUCCCCUUUAUAGGCCUCCAGCACAGUGGUCUUCCUUGCUAGGUGUUACCCAUAGUUCUGACUAUAACAUGUGGAAAAAGGAUGAAUAUGCCAGCAAUGGUGUGCGUGAUUUUGCUGAAAAAGGUGAAGCAUGGACAUUAAUGAAGGAAAUAGAAGCAGCUGGAGAAAAAAUUCAAAGUGUGCAUGGAAUCUUCUCAGCUCCUGCCAUUUCCAGUGGUACAGGACAAACCUUCACGGAAUUAGAAGCACAUUCAAGACGCUCCUUACUUUCUUUUGUUGUACGAAUUGUGCCCAGCCCUGAUUGGUUUGUGGGUGUUGACAGUCUAAAUCUAUGUGAAGGAGAUCAUUGGAAAGAACAAGUAACAGUAGAACUUUUUCCAUAUGAUGCUGGAACAGACAGUGGUUUCACAUUUUCCUCACCAAACUUUGCCACUAUUCCACAGGACACUGUUACAGAAAUCACUUGUUCCUCUCCAAGUCACCCAGCAAACUCAUUUUAUUAUCCCAAGCUAAAAAGUUUGCCACCUAUUGCUCGAGUAACCAUUGUAAAACUUAAAAGAAACCAGCUGGGUCUUCCUGGUCCUGAGCCUAACCUGACGGCUACAGACAAUGCAAUAGAUGACUCUGUCUUAGAAACACCAUUGGACUGUGAGAUUUCACUGUGGUCUUCCUGGGGUCUUUGCAGAGGUACUUGUGGAAAGAUAGGGACCAAAACCAGAACUCGUUAUGUACGCCUUCAACCUGCCAAUAAUGGAACUCCUUGUCCAAACCUGGAUGAAGAAAUAGAAUGUGAACCAGACAAUUGUGUCUGAAAUCUCCUUUCCAGUGGAAUAAAGAAUAGACAAUAAUUUAGAUAAUUUAAAUUAAGGUUAGAUUUAGUUGAAUCUAUACUCCAUGUCAGUCACUAUUCCUUAUAAUUCAGGACUCAGAUGAGGAUCCUGAUGAGUCCUGAAGAAAUUAGAACUUUUAUCAGCAUAGUACAUACUGGUCUUCCAAACACUGAACAAACAAUUAAAACAAACACUCGGCUCCAGUCAAAUACAGCUAAGUAUUUUUUAAAAAACCCUAACUUUUGUCAUUUCUGGAUGCCUUGUAUUCUUCUGAUUAUCAUUCUCCUGUCCUCCAUCCCCCUCGUUUCACUUAUUCUUGUUUAUAACAUCUUUUUUUUUUCUCCACGUUCCUCCUGUGUCCACAUUCGUACAGGUUCAGUAGCUCUCAAAUAUCCUGAUUUUGGGGAGAAAAGAACUUUUCUCAGAUCUCUCCACAUUCUGUAUUAUGUUUAUGUCCUUUUCCAUUCUUUGUUUAUUUUCUAUACAGAAAUCUUCCUUAUUUUCUGUUUUGGGUUUUUUUAAAUUUAACUGUAUAAAUACCUAGAUAAACAAUUACAUCCAAGGUAUAAGAACAACUUUAAAAUGUAUUAAAAUAUACAUGUGAAGUAUGCUCUCUGCUUUUAUAUAUCCUGUUCCCUCGCUCCUUCCCCAGUCCAUUUUCAUUGCUCUUUGUCCCAUUCAUUUCAUGGCUGUGAGACAGCCAUGUUACUGCAAGGCAUGAAUUUAGCCUCCAGCAUCAUUCCUAUUAAUGGACAGAAUUUGAACUGUUGACUGAUAAAUGGCUAAAGGCUCCAAGUCCUAUUACUAGUCCAUGUUCCUGGACUGAUGAUAGAACCCUAAGUGAAAACAUAAUAUGUGAUGGUUACAAACACUAGGAAUGAGAGGAUAAGAAGAAACUUGUAAUAUUUUCCACGCGAUCUCAUGACGACAGCUGUAACUUAUAACAACAUGAAAUAUAUAAUAAAGGCCAGAUUUUUCAAGUACUCAGCACCCGCAAAUUGAGGCUGGUUUUUCAAAAACACUCAACCACUGCUUCCAUUAUGACAUUUAUGUAACCCCCUUGAGGUUUAGAGAGCCUGGCCCCUUUAAAACUUUGUCCGGAGGCAGAGGGAGUGCUGAUUGUUGCAGCAAGAAGAAGUGCUGGUUGUUCCAGGGGUGUGGAGAGAGGUAGAGUGACAGGGUAGGUCUGUCUGUUGCUACAGAGAGAACGACUAUAACAAGCAGGCCCUCACAUAGUGAAGCAGCCGAGAAUCAGCCCGAAGCCUGGAAGGGACAGAAUGACCAAACAGGGACGCCCCAGGACAGGAGACAGGAGGAACACCAUGCUAAAGAGGAAUCACUUGAGAAGAACAAACCAGAGCUGGACUCAGUAUCACAGUUGCCCAGAGAUGGAUGGGGCCAUCAGGAUGAAGGAUAGUAAUCCUGAGGUAAAUGCCUGUAUUUGUCUAUUAAACGCCGAGGGAGUUUGCCUGGGAUCUGUCUGAGAGGAGG